GUAUCUAUCGCUUAGAGGUCAAUAGCGAUGAGCUCAUGACUCAUUAUUAUAUAUCAGUAGUUCGAAUCUACUUAGAUACA
rnacentral:tRNA from 1 species